UCUUCCCGGAACGAUGACAUGACAAUACGGAAGUGCUCUUCUAAUUCAUUUCAUAACUAGAACAUCGUAUAUUUAUCGUUCUAGACAACCUCCAAGCACUGUAUUUCCAAAGGAUAUAGCAAAAUGGCACAGGAAUUUGUGGAAACCAAAAUUAAGGGAGAUAAAGUUGUCUUGUUUAUAAAGCCAACGUGCUCGUAUUGUGUGAUGGCCAAAGAUGUUCUUUCAAAGUACAAAUUCAAACCUGGACAUCUGGAGUACAUUGAUAUCAGUGGACGGAGCGACAUGGGUAGUUUACAGGACUACUUUCUGGAAAUAACAGGGGCCAGGACCGUCCCACGGGUAUUCAUUGGCGAGGAGUGUGUGGGAGGAGGUUCUGACGUGGCAGAGAUGGACAAGAGUGGUAAACUGAAGGAAAUGAUGCAGGCCAUUGGAGCGCUGCAGUGACGCACACUGGCCUCAGUCCUAUUACCAAUGGUGCUCCAGUACCUGGCUUUUAAAAGGUAGACUUGGAAGUGACAGCAGGGUGAGCGGGGUCACAUGACUAGACAGCGGGACUUGCGAAGUUUGCGUCGCCGUUGCUGGUACUCGCUCAGCUCCUGUAGGUAACCCCUGGAUGGCCACCGAAGUCUCUCCACCUGCUCUCGCUCCUCCUCUUUUGGGAAACAAAAGAAAGAAAGAUUUACUUUUUUUUUUGCUUGCUUGCUGUCGGAAUGAUAUUGUAAUUCUCGAUAGUUAUCAAUAUCAUUAUCCAUUUAAACAAUAUGAUGUCGUAGCCAUGCAUCUCUAUACGCAAAACAUGCAUACACAAACAAACAUACGUAGACAAAGCAUGCUAUAUCCCCUUGUUUGUUUCUGCCAAAUCAAAAGCCAUCACCUUGCCUACACGCUCAACUGAUACAAUUGUGUUUACACUUUGAACCUGUGGACCAAUGCCAAUAAGGCUCUGCCAUGCCCAGUUUUGAGAGAACUCAAACUAUUCACUUCACUUGUGCCCUUAAAGACCCGUCCAUUUGACCCUAAAUAUGCACUUGUGUAUGAGAACUACAUCAUGAAAAUAAACAUGCUUAAUAUGCUUACUAAAACCAGA